rnacentral:rRNA from 1 species
UACGAAGGGAGCUAGCGUUGUUCGGAAUCACUGGGCGUAAAGCGCACGUAGGCGGAUGUGUCAGUCAGGGGUGAAAUCCCGGAGCUCAACUUCGGAACUGCCUUUGAUACAGCACAUCUGGAGUCCGGAAGAGGUGGGUGGAAUUCCUAGUGUAGAGGUGAAAUUCGUAGAUAUUAGGAAGAACACCGGUGGCGAAGGCGGCCCACUGGUCCGGUACUGACGCUGAGGUGCGAAAGCGUGGGGAGCAAAC